rnacentral:rRNA from 1 species
ACUCAAAUGAAUUGACGGGGACCCGCACAAGCGGUGGAACAUGUGGUUCAAUUCGAUGCUACGCGAAGAACCUCACCCAGGCUUGACAUGCAAGAAGUAGUGAACUGAAAGGGGAACGACCUGUUAAGUCAGGAACUUGCACAGGUGCUGCAUGGCUGUCGUCAGCUCGUGUCGUGAGAUGUUGGGUUAAGUCCCGCAACGAGCGCAACCAUUGCCCUAUGUUGCUAAUUUAUAGACCUUCGGGUUCGUAAAUGCACUCUUAGGGGACUGCCUGGGAUAACCAGGAGGAAGGUGGAGAUGACGUCAAGUCAGUACGGCCUUUAUGCCUGGGGCUACACACGUGUUACAAUGCUCAGUACAAAGGGUUGCCAACUCGCGAGAGGGAGCCAAUCUCAAAAAACUGAGCCCAGUUCGGAUAAGAGUCUGCAAUUCGACUCUUUGAAGCCGGAAUCGCUAGUAAUGGGGGAUCAGCUCGCCCCCGUGAAUACGUUCCCGGGUCUUGUACACACCGCCCGU